rnacentral:lncRNA from 1 species
CCUUAAGGGCGAUAUAAAGAUUCUUGCAAAGGGUAUCACCAAAACAGUACUGCCUUAUGGAAAAAGAUCUAUUACAUGGCUCACAGGCCAAAAUCAAUAAAGUUUAUAUUGCUGGCACCUUAGGAUCAUCCUGAUGUGAGCUUUGGCCGACUUCGAUUUGCAGGUCACCCAGUACCCAGUUGCACUUAGCCAAAGCUGCGAAGUCAUCUUCAUCAGUCAAGAUUGAUGCCAGGUCAGCCUCCAAGUCGAAAGGGUUCUUGGGUCGCCGAGGAGUUAGACUGGUCGUCACAAAGGU